rnacentral:rRNA from 1 species
UACGAAGGGGGCGAGCGUUGUUCGGAUUUACUGGGCGUAAAGGGCGCGCAGGCGGCUUUGUUUGUCAGGCGUGAAAGCCCCGGGCUUAACCUGGGAACUGCGUUUGAUACGGCAGGGCUAGAGUUCGGGAGAGGAGAGUGGAAUUCCCAGUGUAGAGGUGAAAUUCGUAGAUAUCGGGAGGAACACCGGUGGCGAAGGCGGCGAUCUGGGUCGAUACUGACGCUGAGGUGCGAAAGCGUGGGGAGCAAACAGG